UGGUCCAGUGGUUAAAACUUUGCACUUUCAAUGCAGGGGGUGCAGGUUCGAUCCCUGU
rnacentral:tRNA from 1 species